rnacentral:rRNA from 1 species
UACGUAGGUGGCAAGCGUUGUCCGGAAUUAUUGGGCGUACAGCGCGCGCAGGCGGUUAUCUAAGUCUGAUGUUAAAGCCCGGGGCUCAACCUCGGUUCGCAUUGGAAACUGCGUAACUUGAGUGCAGAAGAGGAAAGUUGUAUUCCACGUGUAGCGGUGAAAUGCGUAGAUAUGUGGAGGAACACCAGUGGCGAAGGCGACUUUCUGGUCUGUAACUGACGCUGAGGCGCGAAAGCGUGGGGAGCAAACAGG